GAAACUAAGUCUUGAAGAGGCUUAUCAACUUAUCUCCAGUCGCACAGAUGCUGAUUUUGACUUGAAGAAUUAACUAAUAUCCGUAAAGCACUUCACCAGUGCUGGCUGCAGAAUGGGAGCUUCAUAAAUGCCACUUCCUCUCUCCCUAACUCUCCUUCCUGGAAGAUUUCCUUCCAGUUUAUUAAGAAGACACAAUCCGCCAAGCUCUGAGUCUCAGAGUCAAAAACUUAAGGAGUCUGGGUGAAGCCUCCUUGGGACUUCAUCACAACCAGUUGGAUGCAGAGAGAGAAAAAUGGAGAACUCACAAAUUUCCGGAUUGGAUCCAUACAGUCUCAGGAACAAUCCUGCAAUGCCCAAAGGACUCUCAAAAUCACCCUGUUGAGAUC